UGUUCUCUCUAGUCUCAUCUUCUUCUGGAAACAUUCCCAUCAGCCUCCUUAACCCAAAUCUGGUCUUCCCAGAAGAUGCUGUUGCCCAUCACCCUCUCAGAUUGUUAGCAAUGGUUUCUCCCUUACUCCUGAUAACCGUGGGCCAAGGGUCAGCCAAAAGACCUGGAAAAGUAGGAGUGACCUACAGAGCUCAAGACUUCAAGGAGAGGAAAAAGGAAUUAAAGGAUUUAGAAUUUGUCUCCAUGUAAUGAAGUGCUUCAGAAAUCGUCUGUGAGUUGUGAGCAUUGGAGCAUCAACAAGAAGCCGCAUUAUGAUGUUAUACGCCCAGGAAUUCUGAAUUUCUGCACUAAUUCUUCCUGCCUGCAGUACUAUCAUCCACAUUAUAAUGGACUGUGAUAUAAUAACAUGAGCAAAUUUUCAGAUAGCUUUUCGAAGGCCAAGUUUACUUACUCCUUUCUGAUUUCAUCACCUCCAUCAGACUGGGGGACAGAAAGCACUGAAGGCCAAUUUACUGAAGAAAAUUGAACACUUUGUUUGCUAUUACCCAAGGACUUGGGGAAAAAGUAUUUGUUGAUUUUCAGUGUCCAGAUGAACUGAGUCACAUAGAUUUUUCUCAGUCAGUAGCCAAACAGUUAUUCAGAUGACAACUUCCAAUGUAUGGAGUGCUCCAACCAGGGAGACUAUUGUUCAUUGCUUGUUGAGCUUAGGAAGAAUGUAGACAUCCAUUGUAAACCUUAUGUUUCCAAAAUCCCAAAUGUAGGAAAAAAUAUGCAGACAUACAGAUAUAUAGGCUAAUUCUUAGUAACAAUAUGAAUAUAUUUAAAGUUUUUAAAACUUUGUAUUUUUUGUAAAAAUAUUUUUCU